rnacentral:rRNA from 1 species
GACGAACGCUGGCGGCGUGCUUAACACAUGCAAGUCGAACGGAAAGGCCCUGCUUGCCGGGUACUCGAGUGGCGAACGGGUGAGUAACACGUGGGUGAUCUGCCCUGCACUUCGGGAUAAGCCUGGGAAACUGGGUCUAAUACCGGAUAGGAGCCAUUUUUAGUGUGAUGGUUGGAAAGUUUUUUCGGUGUAGGAUGAGCUCGCGGCCUAUCAGCUUGUUGGUGGGGUAAUGGCCUACCAAGGCGGCGACAGGUAGCCGGCCUGAGAGGGUGGACGGCCACAUUGGGACUGAGAUACGGCCCAGACUCCUACGGGAGGCAGCAGUGGGGAAUAUUGCACAAUGGGCGCAAGCCUGAUGCAGCGACGCCGCGUGGGGGAUGACGGCCUUCGGGUUGUAAACUCCUUUCGCUAGGGACGAAGCUUUUUGUGACGGUACCUAGAUAAGAAGCACCGGCUAACUACGUG